rnacentral:lncRNA from 1 species
UAAGAAUCCAGUGAUUUGGGAAAUAUCAGAAUAUUGCUUUGAAAGUGAGAUAUCUGCUCACCUACCACAAAGAAAGGCAGAUUGCUUGGAGGGCAUUUUUGAAUUUUGGAGCAAAAUAUAGCAGGUUUAAAUUGUCAGUGUGGAAUGGGUCCCACAUCAAGAAAAGGCUUUGCAGCAAGUCCAGGCUGUAAUAAAAACCCUGCAGACACUUGGACAUUUUAACCCAGAAAAGCCUGUGGAGGUAGAAGUUCUGCUAUAUAAAGAACGGCACAGGGAGGAGGUCUGGCAGGCUGGAGGAGAGGGAGGUGCAGGUUCCUAUUCCCUCAGCUACCUUCCGCCUGUUUUGGCUAUCUCUACUGAAAGAUCCUGUUCUUCUCAGGCAUCUUUCCCCACAGAGCCUCUCUCCACCUUCUUGUAACUGUUCGUUUCCUUGCCUCUUUAGGCCUAGGAAUGACAGUGGCUCCCGGCUGUGGCCAAGCCCAUAGGACUGCACAAGUAUUUUAUGAUGUUCCUCUACCCUUUUGUAGUCGCUUUAUUAACCUCUUCUGUUUCAAAGUGACAUCUCUUUCCUGUGCCUGCUUGUUUUCAGCAAGAAAAUAGAGAAUCUGAUGAAAUAGGAUCCCAUUCUACAGAACAGAAAAGAAGCCUGUGGAUAUUUAGUGGUAGCACAAUCACAGGAAGACAGAGUCUCUAUCAGCCGGGCUGGGGUGCAAUGGCAGGAUCUUAGCUCACUGCAAACUCCACCUCUCCGGCUCAAGCAAAUCUCCUGCCUCCUGCCUCAGCAUCCCGCCCACCUCGGCCUCCCAAAGUGCUGGGAUUACGCCACCGUGCCCAGCCCUCAAUUUUUGAAAAGAAAAAUAAUUGUAAUGUUAGGAAAGUUUGGUAUCACUGGAGGAGAAAUAACCCAAUAAGAAAAUAGAAAACCUAGAAAAUUCAUAUGUUUAUGAAAAAAUAUUUAUUUCUAUGAUUAUGUGUUAUACUUGUAAAUUAAAUUUAAAUUCUGAAUUAAAUUUAUAGUUACCGUUGUCAUAUUAUAUGGCAAUAAAAUAAGUAAUUUAUUUAUAAAAUUACACCAUUGAUUUGAAACAGAAUAAUCCACUUCCCCAAGAUUUUGGCAAAGUCCUAAUGAGAUAAGCAUGAGAAUAUAGUCCCAUAUGUCUUUUAAAUAAGAAUUAUAUAUUUACACAUGUUUCCUAAAUUUAUCGAGGGUCAGAGAGAUAAGUUGACAAGCCAGUUAGCUGUCAAUUAUCUAUGACAAUGGAAUUAUAGCAAAUGGCUUGAAUAAGUUGCUAAUCCAAAAAGAUUCAUUCAUUGCUUUGAAGAUUGUUAUGAUUAUUUUCAGGAUCUUUUUCUCUGUGCUAAAAUGUAAUUCCAUUGCUUUAUUGCUGGCAGAAUUAGAUCCUAGCUUGGAAGCAAGAGAAAAACAACUUAGAAAAGCAAAUUUACUAUUAUAGAGCAAUGAAAUGCCUGGAGUGAUCUCAUUUGUGCAAGCUAUUCUCUUGUCAAAUCACCUACUAUGCACAUGUCUUUCUAAUUCUGGCACCUAAUUUAAUUGUUUAGAUUAAAUCUAUAAACCAGUGAUGCCAAAGUCUCUCUUCAUCUUUGUCCACUUCAGAAUAAAGUUUACUUCUUCAUUUUUAUUUAUAUAAUAAAUAAUUACUGAUUGCUAAAUAUGUCACAGGCAUCAUUCUGCAUAAUGGGGACAGAGCAGUGAGCAAAGCAAAUUAAAAUCCUUGCCUUCAUAGAGUUUACUUCCCAGGGGAAUAAAUGCUUAUCUCAUCAGCGACCUUUAUUCAUGAGAAAGACAUCAGUACCCUAUUGACUGAAGGGUCUUCAGUGCCAGGGCAAGUUUAUGAUACAGUGCAACAGGCUCCUGAUUCAAAAAAUCUCCUGAUAGAGAUUUGCUAUCCUGCCAGAGUCUCCAUUUUCACUACAAAGUAUUAACAAGACUAAAUUCACAAGUUGUCCUAGGGAUUAAAUUAGAUGAUAUGGGAAAAAAGAGUUUACAAAUUUGUAAGUUAUAUAUAGUUAUAUGUUUGUGUGUGUAUAUAUAAAUGAUUUACAGCUCUGUAUGCCUGCUUUAUGUAUUCAUAUGAUAGAUAUUAUCAUAAAAUUGUUACAUUGUAUUUUGGGACCGUUGUAUGUCCUCAGUGUCUCUCAUGAUACCUGGUAAAGGGAAAACAUUCAUUAAAGUUUGACUGGGCAAAUUAAUGGAUUAUUCACAAACAAGUUCCCUAAUUAUAUGAAUUUUAUUUUUAAAAUAUUCAAUAUUACUUCUAUUCCCUACAUAGUCCCACAGUUGCCUAUUAUUAAAUUUUCCAAUAAAGGGGCAUUUUAUCCAUCAGGAAAUAGUUGUAUUUACUUUUAAAUGAGAACAACCAGUAAAUUUUUUAAAGUAUAAGAUACAAUUUGCAAUAACAUGUACAUUUUUAAAAAAUAUAAAAUGCCAAAUACAAUAGCACUUACAAUAGCAAAAACUACCAAAUACUUACAAUAAGUGUACAAAAUACAUUUAGCAUCUCUACGCAGAAUAUUGUAAAUCUUGAUGGACAGAAAUGGUAAAAGACCUACACAAAUGAAGGAAAAUGCUGUGAUCAUAUAUUAGAGGAACCAAUAUUAUAAAAAACAUUAAUUUUUCUCAAAUUGGUCUUUAUGUUUGUUUUUUGCAGAGGUAAACUGAUUCUAAGAUUUAUGAGGAAUCACAAAGGGCCAAGAAUAGCAAUGCACACUUGAAGGAAAAUAAGGUCAGAGAGUCAAGUUACUAGUCAAAUAAUCGCCUAAAAAUUAAUUUACAAAUGGUAAUUACACUUAAUCUUUAAAGGAAAAAAACCAACACUGAAAGUAACAGAAUGGGAGCUAAAUGGGGAGAACUGCAAUAUCACCUCAGACACCAUGGCCCAGAACCAUCUGUGCUCAUGCAAGACCCAUAAUUGUGUGCUCCCCAUUGCCUAUCCCUAUCCCAUGAAUCCAAGAGGGCUGCCUCAACAGUAACCUGGAGUUGGGCUAUACACACUGUUACUGGCAAGGAAAUGAGGUAUGGAGAUAUCCAGCAAUCUUCUAAAUCAAUUAAGGAUUCACCACAAGAUACAGAGAGAAAAUCCAGGAUUUAUGACUGAAGACUGUUUAUUGGACUCAGUAGUACCUCAUGAUGCUGUCAUUAAUGUUUCUACAAUGCUUUCUCAUGGAUACAGAAUCCUCUUAGUCAACACUAUCAAUUGUGUUUGUCCUGUAAGUCAAUAAAAUAAUUUUAAAAGAUUUUUUUUAAGAGAUGGGGUUUCGCCAUAUUGCCUAGGCUGGUCUCAAGAAAUCUGCCUGCCUUGGCCUCCCAGUGCUGGGACUAAAGGCGUGAGCCACCAUGACUGGCCCAAAAACUGAUCUUUUUUUUUUUUUUUUUUUUUUUUUUAAUUGAGACGGAGUCUUGCUCUGUCGCCCAGGUUGGAGUGCAGUGGCGCAAUCGCGGCUCACUGCAAGCUCCGCCUGCCGGGUUCACGCCAUUCUCCUGCCUCAGCCUCUCGGAGUAGCUGGGACUACAGGCGCCCGCCACGACGCCCGGCUAAUUUUUUGUAUUUUUAGUAGAGACAGGGUUUCACCGUGGUCUCGAUCUCCUGACCUCGUGAUCUGCCCGCCUUGGCCUCCCAUAGUGCUGGGAAAACUGAUCUUUUAAGCCCAAUAUAAAGAAGGCCAAAGGAGGAAUGUUGCCUCUGCCUGGCUGUCUCAUCUGUGGUAGAGCUAAAAGUAAACAGAUCAGGGCCUUGGUUGGUGAAGACUCCACUUUAAAAGUUUCAGUUGAAUAUAGUUGAUUUUGGAAUAAGUCCAAAGAAGGAAGAAGGUUCUACUUCUGAGAUGGAAGCCCAUGAAGGCAUUAUGCCAGGAAAGAUUUUAAAAGCCAGGAAAUGAAUCAGGAUGGUUGUGAAUGGAGAAAGUCAAACACAUCAAUAAAUCAGGAGGGCCAGGCAGAUGAGAAACCAAAAAACGUAGCCAGCUUUGGCAAAUGCUCAUUACAAAUGAGAUUCCAGCCAGAUGAGCUGGUGGUUUAUUCAUUCACUCCAUUGUUCUUUUUAUCUAUGACAUAAUGGUUCAGUGUAAUUUCCAUAAAGCAAGACAUAUCUAUUCACUUUAGGUUGUUGUGUUCAUUAAAUGGAGAAAUCAUGUUUUCUAAAUUCUGACCUAUUGUUUGGUAUUGCACCUUUCGUGAACUCCAAAAAUAAUCUAAGAGGAAGAUCUUAAGCUUUAGUAUAAGUGGCAUCUUUUUUCAAGGAUGAAAAUUUAACAUGUAAGCUAGUGUUAAAUUCCUGACAAAUAUUCAUCAACAAAUGUACUUUCUACUGUACUCAAGACAAGAUGGUGUUAGGAGCUAGAGACUGAGCAUAUUGCUAAAUGGCCAUGGCCUUGAGAUUUAGUAAUGUGAAUUUAAGGGGAACAAGAAGUUCUCCAGUUCUCUACUCAAAUUAUUAUUGCUCAGAGCAAGCUAUUAGAUAUAAAUCUGAGAAACAAAAGAAAGACCAAUUAGAUAAUCUAUUUAUGCCUUGGAGAACUAAGCAAAAUGAGAAUGCUUCUAAUUUGUUUUGCUUGAAUAAACUCCAAUCAAAAGAUUGCCCUUUUGCAUGAUAACCAUAAUAACAUAGUAGACAGUUUUAUAAAUCUCACAUUUAUAAUUUGAAGUUUUGACAAGGCAUUUCUAAGUGGCAUUUCAGGAUUCUUAUCAAUUAUUUUAUUGACUGUAAAAUUACAUUUAGUGACUUGCUUAAGCUUUCUCUGCAAAUCAGGAUUUAGAAUCAAAUCCUUGCUUUACUUAAUAAUACUAUUUCUGAACACCAUAAAAUUUUUCCAAUUACAAAAAGCACUAUUUUAUCUGUUAUAUGGUACAGCUAUGGGCUGUAGUAAAAGCUACAGACUUUUUACCACUUUUCUUGGUCCUGAAGGAAAGGAGACAGAAGAUGUCCAUGUCUGCUUCAUAAAGCAUUAGAAAAGGUGAUCUUACAGAUGGAAAAACAUUCCAUUGAGAUAACUGUAAAAUUCAAAUCUAAUUAAACCCUGGCAUUGGGAGGUCUAUUAUUGCUUCUUCUUAUUUAAUGUAUAAUCAUUGAUAAAGCAAUACCUCUAAAAUGGGCCUUUGAAAACUAAACUUUUUUUUUUGUUUACUUUUUUUGUAACAAAAAGGUGGGGAAAUUUGAAAAGUUCGCUUCUUUGUAUGUUUAUGUGUAUGUUUUGAGUGUGUUUAAUUUCCUGCUUGUUUAGCUUUCUUUUAUAAUUUAAUUUUGCUGCUUAUGAUAAUACUGAGUAAUAUAAAGUACUUAGAAAAGACAUAUAGAUAUUUUUAAAUUAUAUACGUAGUCAUUAAAUCCUCACAACAACCCUAUGAGAUAAUAAAUUAUUGUCGUUAUUUUGUGAAUUGAGAAACUGAAGCACAAAUAUAUGUAAAUAACUUGUCCUGAACAUUCUUAUUUUAUAUUUCAACAGUAUCACUGAAAUUUGCUGUUCAAAUAUCACAAACUAUUCCUUGAAGGAUUUUCAUGUAAUAUAAAAAUAACAGGCUGGGGAAAUUCGCUUUCCAAUUAUUGAUUUUUAAGUUAAAACAUAAUUCCUGAAUUAAUUUAUUUGUCUUUCUUGAAGUUAGACAGCCAAUGUGUAUUUGAGUCUAGGAUGGAAUUCAAGCUAGGCAUUUUUAUAGAAAUUAACAUAUGCAAAUAUGUCAUUAUUUUAAAAAAUUUCCCUGCUAUAUAUAAAUAGAAAAGAUUUUUGAAUGAAGUAAACAGAUACAUUAACUGUCUUUCUUUUUCUUUCCCUCUAGAUAUUGAUUUUUC